rnacentral:rRNA from 1 species
CCUACGGGAGGCAGCAGUCGAGAAUCAUUCACAAUGGGGGAAACCCUGAUGGUGCGACGCCGCGUGGGUGAAUGAAGAUCUUCGUAUUGUAAACCCCUGUCAUGUGGGAGAAAAUGAAAAAGAUAGUACCACAAGAGGAAGCGACGUCUAACUCUGUGCCAGCAGCCGCGGUAAUACGGAGGUCUCAAGCGGUGUUCGCAAUCACUGGGGGUAAAGCGUGCGGAGACGGUUGUGCAAGGCGGGAGUGAAAGGCGCGGGCUCAACCCCGGGACUGCACAUGAUACUGUGAGACUAGAGUGAAGGAGGGGGAAGCGGAAUUCUUGGUGUAGCAGUGAAAUGCGUAGAUAUCGGGAGGAACACUAGUGGCGAAGGCGGGUUACUGGACAUUAACUGACGCUGAGGCACGAAGGCGAGGGGAGCGAAAGGGAUUAGAUACCCGUGUAGUC